CAGCCUUGACACCCAGAAGUGGAGGAAAACGUAACCCUGUGCUCAGAAGCCCACUGUGGAGGCUUUGGCUGAGUGUCCAAGCCGGUGUUUGCAGCAGAUAUUGACACCCACGCUGGCCACCUGGGUCGAGGACAACUCUCAAGAGAGGUUUCUAUGUCCUAGCACUAAGAGUAGCUGGAUUCUGCCUUUCAAUUGAUUUCCUUUAUGUGACCGUGCUGUCAUUUCUGUAACUGACCAGCCCUGCCACCCUGUGGUUGUGACAAUGCCCAGAAUCAAAUCUGUGGCUUGGGUCCCAGGGCUGCAGGCGGUGAGGGUGUGUCGUGGUGCUCCCGGGCCUCGUCCUGGGGGUUCCCCUCCUCGGUGCCACCCCCGGGGUGACUUUGCUGUUUCAUAUGCCGCACAUACUUGUCGGCUCCAGAGACCAUCACAAAAUAUCACCGACUGGGCGGCUGAGACAGCAGACAUUGAUUUUCUCACAGUGUGGAGGCUGGAAGUCGCAGAUCGAGGUGCCAGCAGACUCGGUUCCUGGUGAGCGCUCUCUUCCUGGCUUGCACAAGGCGCCUCUCCCUGUGUCCUCACAUGGCCUGUCCGCUGUGUGGGCUCUCGGUGGCUUCCUCUUCUCAUAAGGACACCAGUCCUUUGGGGCCAUCCCCCCUGUGACCACAUGUAACCUACUCACCUCCUUGGAGGCCCCAUCUCCAAACGCAGUCACAUCGGGGGUUGGAGUUUCAACCCACGGUCGUCGCGGAGGGAGAACUCAGUCCCUCCCCCUUGGUGAAGUGUUUCCGUCCUUCCUAGACCGGAGCAAGGACAAAGGGACACGCUGUUUCCAUGGAUCACCACUAGUCAUAACAGCCUCUGCGUCAAUUCCCC
rnacentral:lncRNA from 1 species